GUCCAGGGGCGGGACAUGGCAUCUGCCCGGUAAGCGGAAGGUUGUGGGUUCGAUUCCCGCCCCUGGACA